GAUGAACGCUGGCGGCGUGCCUAAUACAUGCAAGUCGAGCGAACAGACGAGGAGCUUGCUCCUCUGACGUUAGCGGCGGACGGGUGAGUCACACGUGGAUAACCUAUCUAUAAGACUGGGAUAACUUCGGGAAACCGGAGCUAAUACCGGAUAAUAUAUUGAACCGCAUGGUUCAAUAGUGAAAGACGGUUUUGCUGUUACUUAUAGAUGGUUCCGCGCCGCAUUAGCUGGUUGGUAAGGUAACGGCUUACCAAGGCAACGAUGCGUAGCCGACCUGAGAGGGGGAUCGGCCACACUGGACCGGGAACACGGUCCAGACUCCUACGGGAGGCAGCAGUAGGGAAUCUUCCGCAAGGAGCGAAAGCCUGACGGGGCAACGCCGCGGAGGUGAUGAAGGUCUUCGGAUCGAAAAACUCUUUUAUUAGGGAAGAACAAAUGGGUAAGUAACUAUGCACGUCUUGACGGUACCUAAUCAGAAAGCCACGGCUAACUACGUG
rnacentral:rRNA from 1 species